rnacentral:pre_miRNA from 1 species
AGAAUCUCCAAGUCACCUGCUCCUCAGAUCAGAAGGUGAUUGUGGCUUUGGGUGCAUGGUUAUAAGCCACAGCACUGCCUGGUCAGAAAGAGCAAGUGUCCUCUCCUGUU